AAGUCGUAACAAGGUUUCCGUAGGUGAACCUGCGGAAGGAUCAUUAUCGAGUUUUGAACGGGUUGUAGCUGGCCUUUAACGAGGCAUGUGCACACCUGGCUCAUCCACUCUCAACCUCUGUGCACUUUAUGUAAGAAACGGUGUAAGCCAGCUAUUUAACAGUUGGUAACAAGCCUUUCUUAUGUUUACUACAAACGCUUCAGUUAUAGAAUGUUUACUGUGUAUAACACAAUUAUAUACAACUUUCAGCAACGGAUCUCUUGGCUCUC
rnacentral:misc_RNA from 1 species